GCCGAACCGCCCCCGCACCGCCCCGCGGACCGGCCCGGGCCCCCGGCUCCCGCCUCCGCCGCUGCAGGGAUGGCCACGGCACGGCUGACAGCACUGUCCCGCCGCGGGCUGCCCCUCCUGCACCGGGCGGGCGGGCGGCGGGGAGACCCCCCGGGCAGGGCCCUGCACACAAGGACACCGUCUGCCUCCCACAGGUUGACCAGCAGCUAUGUCCAGGGGACCUCAGACAUCCCCCUUCUCACCAAAACCGUGAGCCAGUGCCUCGAUAAGACUGUCGAGCGGUUUCCUGACCGUGAAGCCUUGGUCUUCCACCAAGAUGGCGUUCGGAAGACGUUCGCUCAGUUUAAAGAGGAGGUGGACCAGGCAGCAGCUGGGCUGCUGGCCCUUGGCCUGAAGAAGGGAGACCGGCUGGGGAUAUGGAGUCCCAAUAGAUACGAGUGGGUUCUCAUGCAGUUUGCAACUGCCCAGGCAGGAAUCAUCCUGGCAUCUGUGAAUCCAGCCUACCAGGCCCUUGAGCUGGAAUUUGUCAUCAGGAAGGUUGGCUGUAAGGCACUGGUGUUCCCCACUCAAUUUAAAACACAGAAAUACUAUGAUCUUCUCAAGCAGUCAUGUCCUGAGCUAGAAAAAUCCAGUCCGGGGGGAAUAAAGAGCAAAAGGCUUCCUGACCUAUCCAUUGUCAUCACGCUGGACUCCAAGCUGCCUGGCACCUUCCACAUGGACGAGGUGAUGCAGGCCGGGGACAGCAGCCACAUGAAGCAGUUGCGAGCCACGCAGCAGAGCCUCUCCUGUAACGAGCCCAUCAACAUCCAGUUUACUUCAGGGACAACGGGGAGCCCCAAAGGAGCCACCCUGUCGCACAGCAACAUUGUGAAUAACGCCAACCUGAUUGGGAUGAGGCUGGGCUUCACCGAGCAGGACUAUCGCGUUGUGAUCCCCGCACCGCUCUACCACUGCCUGGCCUUGGUGGGCGGCUGCAUAGUGAUGGCUCUGCACGGCUCCUCCUGCAUCUUCUCGUCGCCCACUUUUGAGGGGAAGGCUGCUCUGGAGUCCGUGUCUCAAGAGAAAUGCUCCUUUAUACACGGCACACCAACCAUGUUCAUAGACAUGAUCUCCCAGCCGAACUUCGAGUCCUACGACCUGUCGUCUCUCCGGGGAGGUGUCAUCGCAGGUUCUCCUGUUCCCCCCGAGGUCAUAAGGACGGUUAUCAGCAAGAUGCACAUGCAGGAGGCCGUGAUUGCCUACGGGACCACAGAAAACAGUCCAGUCACCUUCAUGGGAUUUCCUGAUGACAGCGUUGCCAAGAGAACCGAGACGGUGGGAUGCAUCUUGCCCAACACAGAGGCAAAAAUUGAGGAUCCAGAAACAGGGAAGCUUGUUCCUCCGAACACUCCUGGGGAGCUUCAGAUCCGCGGCUACUGUGUCAUGCUGGGCUACUGGAAUGACCCCAGCAAGACGAGCGAAGUGAUCACUGCUGAGAGGUGGUACAAGACGGGGGACAUCGCCAGCCUGGAUGAACACGGCUACUGCAGAAUUGUAGGCCGUUGCAAGGACAUGAUUAUCCGGGGAGGAGAGAAUGUCUACCCAGCAGAAAUCGAGCAGUUUCUCCACACCCAUCCCAAGGUGAAGGAGGUCCAGGACAAAUACCCUGCGGGAGGAGAGGGAUGUCCCCAGGGGUCACACCAUCCUUCUGUCACAACCAGGUGGUUGGUGUGAAGGAUUCGCGGAUGGGAGAAGAGAUCUGUGCCUGCAUCCGAGUGUGCGCUGGGCAGGACUGCACCGAGGAGGAGAUUAAAGCUUUCUGCAAAGGGAAGAUCUCCCAUUUCAAGAUCCCGCGGUACAUCGUGUUUGUGGCUCAGUACCCGCUCACCGUCUCGGGCAAGAUUCAGAAAUACAAGUUGAGGGAGCAGAUGGAGAAGCACCUUCAGCUCUGAGCUUGGGAAGGCAGAGUAAAAAAAGGGGAUAAAUCAGUCCUGCUUCAGCCAGCUUUGAGUCUCCUUUUCACUUGUGCCUUGGGCUAUGCAGUGGAGACCUUCUCUCCCUGACAUCAGGCUGAUGGCACUUUUCAUUAAUAAAACAGAGUGCCUUUUUUUCCCA